CUCAGCUCAGAAAGCCCGACUCUCUCAGUGUGACGAGGCGCGGGGGAUGCGAGUUUGGCGGAUGUACAGUCAAGCGAGAGACCACUAGACCCUCCCUACUGCCUGUCACUCGCUCUGACACCUGCUGACAACGGCUAACGAGCAGCUCGUGCAUCCAGUCCUCAGGUCUGUCAGAAGGUUGUUGUCACCAGCUGUUCAGAUUGUGUUGUACGACUUCUUUAGUUCACAACUACUUUCAGACCCUUGGCUGACCUGUAGACAGGUUUCAGGCAACAAACUGCGAGAUGACGAGAAGCUUGGCGCUGAUGGUCGUUACCUUACUUCUGAUGACGUCAGUUCCGCUGACCAGUAGCUGGGUGGUCAAAAGAGAGGCCUUGAACAUUGUGACAACACCCGGCAACCCUUGCGACUGCUGCACCCAGGAGCCUUCAGCAAGCUGCGUGUGCCCUCUCCAGAUCUGUGGCCGAGGGUCGCAUCCUCAGAUUGGCUAGCACUUGCGGUGGCAGCAGUCACAGCAGCGAGAAACGAGAAACAUCUUUGCUGAUGUGUAGUUCUUCUGACCUAUCCAGCUUCAGUCUUUUCCCCGAGACCAUGACAACACAGCAGAGACAGUUGUAUUAAAUGCACUAACUGAAUGCAAUCAGAGAAAAUAAUGGUAUACUCAAAAGACAAUCAGAAUAAGUUUAAAGCAGCCAUAAGCCGUACCCAUAAUAAUAAAUGAAAGAUUUGUAUAGCGCAUGCUCACAUUCGUAAGGAGUGUGCUCUUAGGACUUAAGAAUGAGACAUGGACAGCAUACAAGGGAAGGAGGAAUAAACAACAGCACUGACGACGAAUAAAAGACAACUAUAGACAUAGGGGAACCAAGUAACAACAACUGAGAAUAUUGUGAUUCGGCAGAGGAAGGCGAGUAGGAAAGUAAGAAUAAAGGGACGGGGAUGGGUGGGUGGGAUGCAGAUGAAAAAGGAUUAGUAUUGUGUGGACUUUCGUUGAAAACAAGACCAGACAAAUAAAUAAUGUGGAGUAAAAUAAAAGUCGAAAACACAAACCAACAAUGAAACUUUGUGAAUAAACUUCUGUCUGUACGUCUGUUUGACUUGCGUAUCAUCGUUCUCUUCGUUUCGUAGACAAUUGAUUCGUCAUCGCCUCUUCUUAUAAACCUCAACAGGAAAUAUUGAAACAUAUUGAAACCGAACCUCUCGCAUAGUCUUGUGACCAAACAACAACAGCAAAUUGUUCUUGGUUUUGUGUUUGGGUAAUAAUCACAGCACUCCGUCAAGACAUUUCUAGUUGAUUGUAAGCUUACAGAAAGCAAUAAUUGUUAUUUUUAAACAGUAAUAUUCAUGCAUUCGUUUGAGUACAGCGACUGUGAAUCUGUCAGAGAUGUGAUGUAUUAAAUAUUGUAUUAAAGCUCUGAAGAAUUCU